rnacentral:rRNA from 1 species
GAUGAACGCUGGCGGUAUGCUUAACACAUGCAAGUCGAACGGGCUUUUCGGAGCUAGUGGCGGACGGGUGAGUAACGCGUGAGAAUCUGGCUUCAGGUCGGGGACAACCACUGGAAACGGUGGCUAAUACCGGAUGUGCCGCAAGGUAAAAGGCUUGCCGCCUGAAGAUGAGCUCGCGUCUGAUUAGCUAGUAGGUGGGGUAAAAGCCUACCUAGGCGACGAUCAGUAGCUGGUCUGAGAGGAUGAUCAGCCACACUGGGACUGAGACACGGCCCAGACUCCUACGGGAGGCAGCAGUGGGGAAUUUUCCGCAAUGGGCGAAAGCCUGACGGAGCAAUACCGCGUGAGGGAGGAAGGCUCUUGGGUUGUAAACCUCUUUUCUCAGGGAAGAACACAAUGACGGUACCUGAGGAAUAAGCAUCGGCUAACUCCGUGCCAGCAGCCGCAGUAACAC